rnacentral:lncRNA from 1 species
UAUUCCUCCACUUGUCCUAGUAUUCCUCCACUUGUCCUAGUAGUCCUAAUAUUCCUCCCAGUAGUCCUCCUCUUCCUCCUAGUAGUCCUAAUAUUCCUCCUAGUAGUCCUCCUAUUCCUCCUAGUAGUCCUAGUAUUCCUCCUAGUAGUCCUAGUAUUCCUCCUAGUAGUCCUCCUAUUCCUCCUAGUAGUCCUAGUAUUCCUCCUAGUAGUCCUAGUAUUCCUCCCAGUAGUCCUAAUAUUCCUCCAAAACCUAGUACUCCUCCUAGUAGUCCUAGUAUUCAUCCUAGUAGUCCUCCUAUUCCUCCUAGUAGUUCUCCUAUUCCUCAAAAUAGUCAUAGUAUUCCUCCUAGUAGUCCUAGUAUUCCUCCUAGUAGUCCUCCUCUUCCUCCUAGUAGUCCUAGUAUACCUCCUAGUAGUCCUAGUAUUCAUCCUAGUAGUCCUAGUAUUCCUCCUAGUAGUCCUAGUAUUCCUCCUAGUAGUCCUCCUCUUCCUCCUAGUAGUCCUAGUAUACCUCCUAGUAGUCCUAGUAUUCAUCCUAGUAGUCCUAGUAUUCAUCCUAGUAGUCCUAGUAUUCCUCCUAGUAGUCCUAGUAUUCCUCCUAGUAGUCCUAGUAUUCAUCCUAGUAGUCCUAGUAUUCCUCCUAGUAGUCCUAGUAUUCAUCCUAGUAGUCCUAGUAUUCCUCCUAGUAGUCCUAGUAUUCCUCCUAGUAGUCCUAGUAUUCCUCCUAGUAGUCCUAGUAUUCAUCCUAGUAGUCCUAGUAUUCCUCCUAGUAGUCCUAGUAUACCUCCUAGUAGCCCUCCUAUUCCUCCUAGUAGUCCUAGUAUACCUCCUAGUAGUCCUAGUAUUCCUCCUAGGAGUCCUCAUAUUCCUCCUAGUAGUCCUAGUAUUCCUCCUAGUAGUCCUAGUAUUCCUCCUAGUAGUCCUAGUAUUCCUCCUAGUAGUCCUAGUAUACCUCCUAGUAGCCCUCCUAUUCCUCCUAGUAGUCCUAGUAUACCUCCUAGUAGUCCUAGUAUUCCUCCUAGGAGUCCUCAUAUUCCUCCUAGUAGUCCUAGUAUUCCUCCUAGUAGUCCUAGUAUUCCUCCUAGCAGUCUUAGGACUCCUCCUAGUAGCACAUAGCUAG